rnacentral:lncRNA from 1 species
AUGAGAUAUAGAGGCAACAAAGAAAGAAUUAAUUCAAGGUUUAGCACAGUUGGUUGCAGGAAGGUUGACUUUCAAUGCAUCCAUUAUCAUUUUGGAUACACUGGGAUGCAGCCAUCCCAAUAUAAUGUAGAGCUCGGUACUUGCAAAAUGAAAGAAAGAAAGAAAGAAAAAAACAAACAUAAGCAACCUUAUUUAAAUCUUCAUGUGUAUACCUAUGGCUGUUUCUUGUUGAUGUUUGACAAAAAACAACAAAAUUCUGUAAAGCAAUUAUCCUUCAACUAAAAAAUAAUUAAAUUGGAAAAGAAAAAAAAAUUCUCCAAUGAAUUCUUUCUGGGUUGCAUCUCACAAAUUAUUUAUAUCUUAUAUGGCAGUGAAUUGAUUAGAAAUCCAUACCACAAUAACUUGCAGACACUCUGGAUCUUGGGCUUUGGCUAGCAAAGGUGGUGCUCCAGUCAGUCAGGGAACUCCAUUAGUACAACCCUAAGGACUCCUUGGCCUAUCCAGGCAGCACUGUUUGGGGGUAAGAGGAUGCCCGGCUGCCAAGGUGAGAAGCCUAAUAACAAAAGGCUAAUUAACACUUCCGUCGUUUAAAGUGCCUAUUUCAAAAGUGCCUAUUACUCCACUGAGAAGUAGAAAAGAGUUUCCACAGGUUCCCACGACCACAUCUCCCACCGACCUGCAGAUGUGCCAUGUACUCUUCCUUUCCUCCAGGUAAGAAUCAUCCCUGCCCUUAUCUAAAGCCAAACUCUUCACUUGUGUAAGAGAUCCCUUCCCUCCUGCUUCCCCAAGGAGUGUCUUCCUGCAUUUGUCUUGUUUCUCCCGCACAGUGAAUCUCUUCUCUCUGCUGGAUGAUACCAGGAGGCCAGAUACCUCUCACUUUUAGAGCCCUCCCCUUGAUUCCAUAUCUCCUCCAGCUCUUGUCUCAAAUCUCUUCUCCACUCAGAGAUACUUAAGAGUUGUUUCCUGUUCCCUGGACCUUAUUCUCUCCUUACCUUUCUUCUUCCCACCCCUUUAGACACACGCUUGU